rnacentral:rRNA from 1 species
GACGAACGCUGGCGGCGUGCUUAACACAUGCAAGUCGAACGGAAAGGCCCUGCUUUUGUGGGGUGCUCGAGUGGCGAACGGGUGAGUAACACGUGAGUAACCUGCCCUUGACUUUGGGAUAACUUCAGGAAGCUGGGGCUAAUACCGGAUAGGAGCUCCUGCUGCAUGGUGGGGGUUGGAAAGUUUCGGCGGUUGGGGAUGGACUCGCGGCUUAUCAGCUUGUUGGUGGGGUAGUGGCUUACCAAGGCUUUGACGGGUAGCCGGCCUGAGAGGGUGGCCGGCCACAUUGGGACUGAGAUACGGCCCAGACUCCUACGGGAGGCAGCAGUGGGGAAUAUUGCACAAUGGGCGGGAGCCUGAUGCGGCAACGCCGCGUGCGGGAUGACGGCCUUCGGGUUGUAAACCGCUUUCGCCUGUGACGAAGCGUGAGUGACGGUAAUGGGUAAAGAAGCACCGGCUAACUACGUG